rnacentral:rRNA from 1 species
AUUGAACGCUGGCGGCAUGCCUUACACAUGCAAGUCGAACGGCAGCACGGAGCUUGCUCUGGUGGCGAGUGGCGAACGGGUGAGUAAUAUAUCGGAACGUACCCUAGAGUGGGGGAUAACGUAGCGAAAGUUACGCUAAUACCGCAUACGAUCUAAGGAUGAAAGUGGGGGAUCGCAAGACCUCAUGCUCGUGGAGCGGCCGAUAUCUGAUUAGCUAGUUGGUAGGGUAAAAGCCUACCAAGGCAUCGAUCAGUAGCUGGUCUGAGAGGACGACCAGCCACACUGGAACUGAGACACGGUCCAGACUCCUACGGGAGGCAGCAGUGGGGAAUUUUGGACAAUGGGCGAAAGCCUGAUCCAGCAAUGCCGCGUGAGUGAAGAAGGCCUUCGGGUUGUAAAGCUCUUUUAUCAGGGAAGAAACGGUGAGAGCUAAUAUCUCUUGCUAAUGACGGUACCUGAAGAAUAAGCACCGGCUAACUACGUGCCAGCAGCCGCGGUAAUACGUAGGGUGCAAGCGUUAAUCGGAAUUACUGGGCGUAAAGCGUGCGCAGGCGGUUUUGUAAGUCUGAUGUGAAAUCCCCGGGCUCAACCUGGGAAUUGCAUUGGAGACUGCAAGGCUAGAAUCUGGCAGAGGGGGGUAGAAUUCCACGUGUAGCAGUGAAAUGCGUAGAUAUGUGGAGGAACACCGAUGGCGAAGGCAGCCCCCUGGGUCAAGAUUGACGCUCAUGCACGAAAGCGUGGGGAGCAAACAGGAUUAGAUACCCUGGUAGUCCACGCCCUAAACGAUGUCUACUAGUUGUCGGGUCUUAAUUGACUUGGUAACGCAGCUAACGCGUGAAGUAGACCGCCUGGGGAGUACGGUCGCAAGAUUAAAACUCAAGGGAAUUGACGGGGACCCGCACAAGCGGUGGAUGAUGUGGAUUAAUUCGAUGCAACGCGAAAAACCUUACCUACCCUUGACAUGGCUGGAAUCCCCGAGAGAUUGGGGAGUGCUCGAAAGAGAACCAGUACACAGGUGCUGCAUGGCUGUCGUCAGCUCGUGUCGUGAGAUGUUGGGUUAAGUCCCGCAACGAGCGCAACCCUUGUCAUUAGUUGCUACGAAAGGGCACUCUAAUGAGACUGCCGGUGACAAACCGGAGGAAGGUGGGGAUGACGUCAAGUCCUCAUGGCCCUUAUGGGUAGGGCUUCACACGUCAUACAAUGGUACAUACAGAGCGCCGCCAACCCGCGAGGGGGAGCUAAUCGCAGAAAGUGUAUCGUAGUCCGGAUUGUAGUCUGCAACUCGACUGCAUGAAGUUGGAAUCGCUAGUAAUCGCGGAUCAGCAUGUCGCGGUGAAUACGUUCCCGGGUCU